rnacentral:rRNA from 1 species
CCUACGGGAGGCAGCAGUGAGGAAUAUUGGUCAAUGGACGAGAGUCUGAACCAGCCAAGUAGCGUGAAGGAUGACUGCCCUAUGGGUUGUAAACUUCUUUUAUAUGGGAAUAAAAUGUUCCACGUGUGGGAUUUUGUAUGUACCAUAUGAAUAAGGAUCGGCUAACUCCGUGCCAGCAGCCGCGGUAAUACGGAGGAUCCGAGCGUUAUCCGGAUUUAUUGGGUUUAAAGGGAGCGUAGGUGGCUUGUUAAGUCAGUUGUGAAAGUUUGCGGCUCAACCGUAAAAUUGCAGUUGAAACUGGCAGUCUUGAGUACAGUAGAGGUGGGCGGAAUUCGUGGUGUAGCGGUGAAAUGCUUAGAGAUCACGAAGAACUCCGAUUGCGAAGGCAGUUCACUGGACUGCAACUGACACUGAGGCUCGAAAGUGUGGGUAUCAAACAGGAUUAGAUACCCCUGUAGUC